UGAACGCUGGCGGCGUGCCUACUACAUGCAAGUCGAGCGAACGGACGAGAAGCUUGCUUUUCUGAUGUUAGCGGCGGACGGGUGAGUAACACGUGGAUAACCUACCUAUAAGACUGGGAUAACUUCGGGAAACCGGAGCUAAUACCGGAUAAUAUUUUGAACCGCAUGGUUCAAAAGUGAAAGACGGUCUUGCUGUCACUUAUAGAUGGAUCCGCGCUGCAUUAGCUAGUUGGUAAGGUAACGGCUUACCAAGGCAACGAUGCAUAGCCGACCUGAGAGGGUGAUCGGCCACACUGGAACUGAGACACGGUCCAGACUCCUACGGGAGGCAGCAGUAGGGAAUCUUCCGCAAUGGGCGAAAGCCUGACGGAGCAACGCCGUGUGAGUGAUGAAGGUCUUCGGAUCGUAAAACUCUGUUAUUAGGGAAGAACAUAUGUGUAAGUAACUGUGCACAUCUUGACGGUACCUAAUCAGAAAGCCACGGCUAACUACGUG
rnacentral:rRNA from 1 species